CUACGGGCCGCUCCAGUGGGGAAUACUGCACAAUGGGCGCAAGCCUGAUGCAGCCAUGCCGCGUGUAUGAAGAAGGCCUUCGGGUUGUAAAGUACUUUCAGCGGGGAGGAAGGGAGUAAAGUUAAUACCUUUGCUCAUUGACGUUACCCGCAGAAGAAGCACCGGCUAACUCCGUGCCAGCAGCCGCGGUAAUACGGAGGGUGCAAGCGUUAAUCGGAAUUACUGGGCGUAAAGCGCACGCAGGCGGUUUGUUAAGUCAGAUGUGAAACCCCCGGGCUCAACCUGGGAACUGCAUCUGAUACUGGCAAGCUUGAGUCUCGUAGAGGGGGGUAGAAUUCCAGGUGUAGCGGUGAAAUGCGUAGAGAUCUGGAGGAAUACCGGUGGCGAAGGCGGCCCCCUGGACGAAGACUGACGCUCAGGUGCGAAAGCGUGGGGAGCAAACAGGAUUAGAUACCCCAGUAGUC
rnacentral:rRNA from 1 species